rnacentral:tRNA from 3 species
GAGGAGUUAGUUAAAUCCUAACAUUACCUUGUCAAGGUAAAAUUACUAGUUGAACUCUUGUACCCCUCU